CUUUGCUAGGUGCUGGCCUUGGUGUACAAUUCUUUGUGGGUCCUGGUUUGGAAAAGGGCCUUACUGUGAAUAAACUUACAUUUGAUAUCAGCAAGUGCUCAGCCACAGCUCUGUGACUGAGCAGAGAGCAGCCUCAAAGCUUUUAGCAGGUCACAAAUGAACCCCAAAGAGAUUGUGGCUGAAGCCUGCAGACCCUGUGCUCAUGCUGUUACCUCUUUGCCUCCCUGUCCUGAAUGCCUG